GUGUCAGCAGCCGCGGUAAGACGGAGGGGGCUAGCGUUGUUCGGAAUGACUGGGCGUAAAGAGCGCGUAGGCGGUUUAUUAAGUGAGGCGUGAAAGCCCUGGGCUUAACCUAGGAUGUGCGUUUCAUACUGAUGGACUAGAGUACGAGAGAGGAAAGCGGAAUUCCUAGUGUAGAGGUGAAAUUCGUAGAUAUUAGGAAGAACACCGGUGGCGAAGGCGGCUUUCUGGCUCGUAACUGACGCUGAGGCGCGAAAGCGUGGGGAGCAAACAGGAUUAGAUACCCCGGUAGUCC
rnacentral:rRNA from 1 species